rnacentral:lncRNA from 1 species
CGGAAGUCCAGCUGCUCGUGCCCUGGGAAGAGCAGCCUGGGAAGAGAGAAACCCUUCCCCUGCCUUCAUGUGUCCUAGGCUACUUAAGUUAUUCACAACAGCGAGAAAGUUCGAGGCCUGUCAGGAACCGAGAAAAACUGAAAGUUUCUAAUGCCUGGGUGAAGAUAGGAAAACUGUCAGAUAGGCUGAGCACUGUCAUACUGUAAGUAUCUUUUUGAAAAAGAAGUUUAAGAAUAUUUCAUGUCCAUUUGUUUCAGGGAAAAUAUGUUUAAGAUAUAUGCAAAAUAUAGAGGUGGAUAUUAUAAUCAUCUUAAUAAUUUAUAAGAACUAGUCCUGUG